rnacentral:lncRNA from 1 species
CUCAGCCUUUUCUCUUCAGCUGUUUCUCCUCGGCGUUUCCCACGCCCUUUACGUGAAGGAAGCUUGUACGGUAAGUUUUGUCGUGUUUUUAAUACUGUAUUCUGCUGGGAGCCACCCACAGUGGGUGGGAAAUAAUUAGAAAUUAUUAUCAUCAUUGAUUUUUAAAUUAUUAUUAUUAUAAAAGGCUUAGGGAAGUUUGUAAUUAUUAUGUUUUGUUGCGUUUUUAAUAUUCUGUUGGGAGGAGCCCACAGUGGCUGGGGAAGGAUAAUAAAUUAUGAUUAUCAUUAAUUUUUAAAUUGUUAUUGUUAUUAUAAUAAUUGUUAUUAGAAAAGGGUUAGGGGUGUUUGUAGUAUAUUAUGUUUUAUCUGUUUUAAAAUAUUCUGUUGGGGACUGGGAAAUAGUAAUAAAUUAUUAUUAUCACUAAAUGUUAAAUUAUUAUUAUUAUUAUUAUUAAUCACACCCACCCAAGUGGGACAUGGCCUCUUCCCCCCUAAGCCUUAACAGUAUAGUAUUUUUAUUUAUUCGAAUUGGGGCGGGGAAGCUCCCCUUGGCUACAGCAACUCCAGAGUAACUGGCUGUGAGUUCAGAUCUCCAUUGCUUUCCCCCUCAGGCCACUUUUGUGAGCCGAACCAAGGGUGACCAAGCAAUGUAUUGAAAACUGUAUCUGAACAAUGUAUUGUUCAGAUGAACCACUGCUUUAAGCAGUGUUUUUGUAACCAGGUAAUUCCUCAAGAUCCUAAUUCCUUCACUUAUUAUGAAAUGCAAUCCCCUUGUGGUUCAUUCGCAGAUUCCUGCCUUGCAACGGGUUGGACUGGAAGACCCUUGGGGUCCCUUCCGGCUAUAUACACCAUUAUAUGAUUCUUGGGAAAGUGCUUCAGAAAGAAUAAACGGGGGGGGGGGGGAGAGAACAUGUUUCUUCGAGUUAAUCGUAUGAUGGCUUACAGGGAAGGGAGGCUCCUUUCCCACUUUAUUAUUUCUUCAAUCUGUGCUUGACAUAUUAUAUGUUUGCUUUUACGUGGACCCCCUCUUUCCCUUCUUGUGAAAAUAAUCGACCCUACUGAUAUUUCUUAGGUCUGUAUGGGCUCUGAUGAAUUCCUGCUCUGAAGAGGAGGAAGCUUCGCCUGAGGAACGGAGAAGAGGAGGUGGAGGAAAAGUCAGCUGCAGGCAUGAAGGUAAUAGGGGAAAAAAUAGAAAUACAAAUUAACAUAUAACACUUAAUAACAUUUUUAAACAACCCCACUCCUGAUAUAUCACACCCACCCAAAUGGGGCUUGGCCUCGUCCCCCCUAACCAGCAUAGUAAAAAUACAGUAAAGUAUUUUUAUUUAUUUGAUUGGAGUAGGGCAGCACCUCCUAGCUUCACUCAUGUUGGUGAGGUUUGUCUAUUUUUCCUUUUCUUAUUAGGCUAUCUAAAGGUGACAAAGCAAUGUGUUGAAAACUUAAUUUCUUCAGAUGAACCAUUGUUUUAACCAGGUAAUUACUCAAGGCACCGAUUCUUUCACCUAUCAAUUUAUCCACAUAAUCCAAGCGGAGAUUAAUUAGCAUCCAAAAGUGGUACACUUGCACAUUACAUCUUAAGAUAAAUGUUUUGGAAAAGGCAUAAAUUAAAAAAAAUUAAUUUGCAAGCAAAUACUUGAAUGCCCAGUGAAUUAGAUAGGCAGUGAGCUGGCUUAUUUGUCUAAUGGAGCAUCCCAAAACCCAGUUUGGGUCUAUAAGACCGAGUUUGCCCCUUCCCCCCAGCCUUAACGGCAACCCUCCAUUGCUUUCUGUUUGAUUUUUUAAACAGAUACUCUGAAUUGAACACCACAAGAAUAAAUAGGGAUCAGCCCCUGCUGUAGUGGCCAGCACUAAAAGCCAUUUGAGUAAUUCAGAUCAAUAAAGUAGGAAUAAUUAAUAUUUACAAACCAGCAACUUCACACCAGUUUUGGACACUUGCAGCAACUUGCAAUGUUAAGAGAGGUGCUCUAAAUAAAAGCACUUUCUACAUUUAUGAGCCUUCAGAGUAGGCUCAUGUUUUGUCCUUUGCCUGGAGGUAUAAAUGUUGUUAGCAUAUGUGCAAUCACCCCGAGAACUUCAGGCCUGCUCCUGACUGUCAAAAUGCUCCUGGAGAGGCUGUAAGCAGCACUUCCUCUGCUCUCAGUCAGCAAAAGAGGAUGGCAAGGUGUGCUUCAUGGCGUAACUUAAUUUGCAGCUGCAGGAGAAGUGUGGAUCCCUCAGCCAUACCUAAAUAGCCUUCAAAGUGCCAUUUAAGAGUGCAACAGCUAGCUGUGAUGUGGACACAAAGGUUGUGAGGUUGUUCCCCGUAAGGGACACAUGCAAAUUCCUGCCUUGUAGCAGGUUGGACUGGAUGACCCUUGGGGUCCCUUCACGAUAUAUACUCACCCACUCACCCACCAUCAUACGAUUCUUUGGAAAGUGCUUCAGAAAGAAGAUAGAGAAAUAGCAUUCCUUUAAGUUAGUUGUAGUUGUUGGCUUUUUGCAGCAUGGUAGCACUGCAGAGAGCUUGCUGGGGAGACCAUGCAUUAAAAAGGGACUCAAAAAUAGCUUAAACAAGGUUUUAAUUACAAAAACAAAAACCCCAUUUACACUAAAUAUAUUAACAAACAAACAUGACCCAAACACCAACCCAUCCCCCAGGGUAAUGGGAGAGCUAGUGCUGCUCCUUAUAUACUACACCCAAUUGCCAACACAGCUUAAUCAAUACAACUCAACAGCACCUGCUAUGUUUCACAGCUGUAAAGCUGGGUCUCGUUAUCUUGCUCUGGCCCUUGCUCUGGCCCCUUAAAGACAUACACAUCGGGUGGAACAGUGAUGAACCUUUACAUUUAAAGAAACCAUUCAACAAUGCAGAGGGUCGCAAGGAUAGCUGGCUAGCCCCAGCUGGAUCGUCUCCUUCCAGCUGUCCAGCUGCGAAGAUCCAUCUGCCUCUGCUCCGAUGUAAAUCAGCAACCCAGGCUUCAAAGCCAGGGCACACUAUAUCAGCCGAGCAAACUGCACACACAGAAUAGGCGUGAGGCUUGUGGAAGCAUACCACAACUAUGGAUUUAUUAAUCAUAAAUCAGGACAAACAGACUCCGCUAACCCAAAAAUAGUACCUCGGGUUAAGAACUUUGCUUCAGGAUGAGAACAGAAAUCGUGCUCCAGGGGCACGGUGGCAGCAGGAGGCCCCAUUACCUAAAGUGGUACCUCAGGUUAAGAACAGUUCCAGGUUAAGAACGGACCUCCAGAACGUAUUAAGUUCUUAACCCGAGGUACCACUGUACACACAACAGAAGUUCCCAGCAAAUUGUGCUGGUAUGUAAACAGACAUGUGACAUGCAACAGUUCCAUGUCUGCAACUAAAGGUGGAAUUUUCCAGCAGUAGAUAGUCAGGCUUGGUUCCUGAAAUGAGUAGGCUUCCUUGUACACACUUCCAGGCAGAAGGGGUAGAUGGAGAGAACACUUUGUGUAGGGUCAGGGUCAGGGUGAGAAUAUGUAUAAUCACCCUGAAGGAUUCAGGGCUCCUCCUGACUGUUGAAAUGCUCCCAAGGAGGAUGUAAGCAGCACUUCCUCUGUUUCCAGUCAAUAAUAGUGAAUGGCCAUGUUUUCUUCAUGGCUGAACUUGCAGCUCCAGGAGAGGUGUAGAUCCCUGAACUAUACCUAAAUAGCCUUCAAAGUGCCAUUUAAGAGUGCAAUAUUUGCUGCACAACCAAGGUUGCGGGGUUGUUCCCCAUAAGGGACUCCUGCAUGUUCCUGUAUUGCAGCAGGUUGGACUGGAUACCGUUGGGGUCCCUUCCAGAGGUCAUAUACCAUCAUUUUUCUUUGGAAAGGGCUUCAGAAAGAAGAAACAGAAAUAGCGUUCCUUAAAGUUAGUUGUAUGAUGGGAAAGUAGCCUCACUUCCUGUGAGUUACCUUAUUCCUUGCACGUUAAUUUGAGCUUGGUGCCUCUUUUUACACGGACCCCUCUUUCAGUUCUUCUGGAAAAAAUUCGCCCCCCUGUUAUUUCUCAGGUCUCUAUGGGCUGUGCUGAAUUCCUGCUCCCAAAAGGGGGAGGAGAAGGAAGGGGGAAGUUUCGCCUGACAAAGGGAGGGAGAAGAGGGGCCCUCCUGCUGCUGCCUUGUGGGGCGAGAGGGGGAAAGGGGAUCUUUUGACACAAGAUCCAAACAGCUCCUUUAACCAAACACUUGAUCCACCCAGCAGUGUGGCAGCCAAGGGGAAGGAAAGCAGCUCUUAGACAUCUCCAUGCAGUUGCAAAAGGUGGGUUGCCUGUAUGGGCUCUGCUUUAUUCCUUAAUGUUGAAUGCUACAUCUGCCUAAGUCCACUUCCAUCCACUGGAAAAGAUUCUUAGUAGUAAGGAGUAAAGGGAACGGUGGGAAAUACCUAGUUAUUUCUAUAAAUUGGUAAGACCGCACAGUCCCUACACCUCCACAAGGCCUGGUCCUUUUAAGAGGUCCAGCCUGCCUUCUCCAAAGGUGGAUUUCAGCUCAAACAGCUUGCUGAAAAGUCUCUCUUCCUAUCCUUACACCAGUAAUCCUGGCAACCUCCUAGAUAACAGUCUCUAUUCUUCAAUGGUCAGGGAGAUUGCAUUUUCCCACAGUCUCUCAAAAAAUUGAAACCUUAGCAUUUAGUAAUGUCUUAAUACAGUUUUUUUGGGGGGGUCAGCCCUUAAAAAUCAACUGUGCAGUGUGGCUCACAGCAGGGGCAAAGCAAAGAUUUAAGAGUGUCACCAGCUAUGCACAUUCGCGUACACACAUAUAGGCUGGGAGUCCCUAUGCCACAAGACCAAGUGGGCUGAGCCCCGGUAACGGGGGCCAAAACCAAAAGCCAGUUGAAUCAUUUACAUUUACAAAUACUGGCACGUAUGUAUGUGUUUUGGAAAUUUGCAGAAGUUUGUAAUGUUAAGAGAGGUGUUCUAAAGAAAAGCACUUCAUACACUCAUGAGCAUUCCCUUAGAGUAGGCUCAUUUUUCCCCCUUUUCUGGAGGUGGAAAUGUUGUUAGCAUUUGUACAAUCACCCCGAAGGCUUCAGGCCUCCUUCUGACUCUUGAAAUGCUCCUGGGGAGACUGUAAGCAGCACGUCCUGCACUCUCAGUCAGCAAAAGGAGAUGGCAAGGUGUGUUUAAUGGCGUAACUUGCAGCUGCAGUUUAAAUUAAAGUGCCAUUUAAUAGGGCAACAUUGACAGCACAACCAAGGUUGGUGGUGGUUCUCUUGCAUAUUCCUGCCUUGCAGUGGGUUGGACUGGAUGACCCUUGGGGUCCCUUCCAAUAUAGAUAUAUACACCAUCAUAUAAUUCUUUGGAAUAAUCAUAAUCAUCAUCAUCAUAAAUUUUUAUAUCCCGCCAUCCCCAGCCGAAGCCGGGCUCAGGGUGGCUAACAACAAUAAAACAGUACAAAAGUACAGCACAAACAACACUCUAAAAUCAUUCAUUAUAAAAUUAAUUAAUUCAAGCCACUGGCAACCAUUGGGCCAGAGCUCCGCGAAGAUUGCCGAGGGGGGAGUCAGGCUGUGCCCUGGCCAAAGGCCUGGUGGAACAGCUCUGUCUUGCAGGCCCUGCGGAAAGAUGUCAAGUCCCGCAGGGCCCUGGUCUCUUGUGACAGAGUGUUCCACCAGAUCGGAGCCACGGCCGAAAAAGCGCUGACUCUAGUUGAGGCCAGCCUAACUUCUCUGUGGCCUGGGACCUUCAAGAUGUUUUUAUUUGAAGACCGUAAGUUUCUCUGUGGGGCAUACCAGGAGAGGCGGUCCCGUAGGUACGAGGGUCCUAGGCCGUAUAGGGCUUUAAAGGUUAAAACCAGCACCUUAAACCUGAUCCUGUACUCCACCGGGAGCCAGUGCAGCUGGUAUAGCACCGGGUGAAUGUGAUCUCGCAGCGAAGACCCCGUAAGGAGUCUUGCUGCAGCAUUCUGCACCCGCUGGAGUUUCUGGGUCAGUCUCAAGGGCAGCCCCACGUAGAGCGAGUUACAACAAUCCAGUCUGGAGGUGACCGUCGCGUGGAUCACAGUGGCUAGGUCAGGGCGAGAGAGGUAAGGCGCCAACUGCUUAGCUUGGCGGAGAUGGAAAAAUGCCGCCUUUGUUGUAGCUGCAAUCUGCGCCUCCAUGGAAAGGGAGGUGUCGAAGAUUACACCCAAACUCUUAACGGACGGUGCUGGCACUAAUUGCGCCCCCGCAAGAGAUGGGAGUUGCCCCCCCAAUCCAAUAUCGUCCCGCCCCAGCCACAGGCCAUCUGUCUUCGAAGGAUUUAGCUUCAACCGGCUCCCACGUAACCAUCCAGCCACAGCUUCCAAACAUCUGGUCAGUGUGUCUGGGGCCGAGUCAGGAUGGCCAUCCAUCAACAGAUAGAGUUGGGUGUCAUCAGCAUACUGAUGGCAACCCAGCCCAAAAUUCCGGACAAGCUGGGCGAGGGGGCGCAUAAAGAUGUUGAAAAGCAUCGGGGAGAGUAUCGCACCCUGAGGUACUCCACACACCAAGGAGUGGCGCGAUGACAAUUCCCCCCCAAGCGCCACCCUCUGUCCCCAACCAGAGAGAAGCGAGCACAGCCAUUGAAGGACUGUGCCCUGGAUCCCCACAUCAGUAAGGCGGUGGUCCAGAAGUUCGUGAUCGACCAUGUCGAAAGCUGCUGACAGAUCUAGAAGAAUCAGCAGCCCCGACCCACCUUGAUCCAGCUGUCUACGAAGAUCAUCUGUUAGGGCAACCAGAGCCGUCUCGGUCCCAUGACCAGCGCGGAAGCCGGACUGGAAUGGAUCCAGAGCCGAUGUUUCAUCCAGAAACCCACAAGCUGUUCAGCAACCGCUCUCUCAGUCACCUUACCCAGGAACGGAAGAUUCGAAACUGGGCGGUAAUUGGAUAGAUCUAAAGGAUCUAAUGAUGUUUUCUUUAAGAGCGGGCGCACCACUGCCUCCUUCAGUUCCCCUGGGAAUGUCCCUGUGCCAAGGGACAAAUUGAUGAUAUCCCCCAGGGGGGCCCGCACCUCGUCUGGACACGCUCUAAUCAGCCAAGACGGGCACGGGUCGAGAGGACAGGUGGUGGGCUUUCCAGCUCGGAGGAGUCUGUCCACAUCGGCUGGGGAUAUCCGGUUGAAGUGGUCCAAUACUGGACCCGAGGACAGUUGAGGGGCCUCCAGUUCCUUUAUUGUAUCCAAAUUGGCAGGGAGGUCAUGGCCGAGCAACAAGACCUUCUCGGCAAAAAAGCUCGCAAAUGCCUCACAGCUGUGUGUCAAAUUGUUAUUUAAAUUUGCCUGUCCCUCAAGGGACGUUAAAGACCUGAUUAUACUAAAUAAUUGUGCCGGGCGAGAGCUAGCGGAUGCAAUGGAGGCUGAGAAGUAAGACUUCUUAGCAGCCUUCACCGCCAUCUCGUAGGUUUUCAUAAAAGCCCUAUAAGAUGUUCUUGAGGCUCCAUCACGGGCACCCCGCCAUACUCGCUCUAGCCGUCUGAGGUCCCGCUUCAUUUCCCGGAGCUCCUCGGUAAACCAGGGAGCCCGGUUUCUGCAGGGUCGCAGAGGGUGCUUAGGUGCGAUCUCAUCGAUGGCUGCCAGGAGCUGGAUAUUCCAGCCCUCAACAAGCUCAGUCAAUGAGUUGCCAGGGGGAGCAAGGUCCCGCAAGGCUUGGCGGAAUCUAUCAGGGUCCAUCAGCCUCUGCGGGCGAGCCCAAAUCGGCUCGCCACCUAAGCAGGGUGGGGGUGGAAAGUCAAUCCUGGCUUUCAGAGCGUAGCGAUCAGACCAUGGCACCUUCAUCGAAGGAGACAUGAUCACAUCUAUACCUACGCCAAAGAUCAAAUCCAGCGUGUGGCCUGCUUGAUGUGCGGGGCCCGAAACAAACUGGGAGAGCCCUAGUGUCGCCAUGGAAGACACCAGGUCCAGAGCCUGUGAGGAGGGAGUGGCAUCAGCAUGGAUGUUGAAGUCCCCCAAUACCAAUAGGUUAGGGAACUCCAAGGCCCAGCCGGCUACCGCCUCCAAUAGGCCUGACAGGGUGGCUGCUGGUGCGCUAGGUGGCCGGUACACCAGCCAGACAGCCAAGCUCUCCUUGGAGCCCCACACUAGGCCAACACAUUCAAUGCUGGGGAUCGAUGGCGAUGGUAGAGCCCUGAAAGGACAAUCUUCCCGGAUUAAUAAUGCUACCCCUCCCCCCCCGGCCCACAGUCCGCGACUGGUGGAGGACAGAGAAACCCGGGGGCGCCAUCUCUCGUAAGGUAACUGUUGCCCCUUCGCGCACCCAGGUCUCCGUCACACAAGCCAGGUCAACCCCUUGCGAGAUAAAGAAAUCUCGCAGGGUGGCGGUUUUGUUGCCUAUAGACCUGGCAUUGCACAGCACCAGUGACGGAGGUGAGUAAUCCUUGCUCACCCUACCCUCGUCCCUCGGGAUGAGGCACAGAUUGGAAGGGGUACGAGCAUAUCCAUAUCUCGAUCCCCUUCGCCUAUAACAUCUGCCCCCACCACCAUACCUCCCUCGCCCCUCCACUGUAGCAAUCUCAAGCCUCAUAGUAGCCUCCAUUGAUGGCAAUUACUGUUAUUCUUUCGCAGCCUAAAACAAUAAAACCUUAAAACAAUAAAAACAAAAAACAAAAGCAACCCAGAAAACAAUAAAACAAUACAAAUAAAAACUGCAAAAAUUACAAAUUCAUCAAAAUCUAACAAAUUCCCAAGCCCACCCAAACAUCCAUCCCACCCCCAUAUAUAAAAAUCUAAAGGGAAAGGGAGAUUUUAAAACAUGUUAAAAAGAACUCUGUACCCCUCCGGGUCCUCCUGGGCAGUAGCAGCAUCAGUGGCAACAACCGUCCUUGUGAGGCCCCACCCUGGACCAGAUAGUAGGUGGCAGGAGCAGUCCUUGUGAGGCCUGUCAGGCCCCGCCCUGGGCCCGGGGGUAGAGUGGCAGGAAGGAGCAGGGCCCUCAGGCACUCACACAGGCGAGUCCUCCUGGGCAGCAGGGCAGUCCUUUUGAGGCUUCAGGCCCCGCCCCAGGCCAGAUGGUAAGUGGCAAGAACAGGGCCCUCAGGCACUCACACAGGGGAGUGUGCUUAGGAAGUUAGGGUUGGGGUUAGGGUUAGGGUUGGGUUAGGGUUGGGGUGAGGGUUAGAGGGUUAGGUUUAGAGGGUUAGGGGUUGGGGUCAGGGUCAGGGGGUAAGGGUUAGAGGGUCAGGGUCAGGGUUAGGUUUUAGGGUUAGAGUUGGGGGUUGGGGUUAGUGUUAGUGUUAGGAAGGUCCCAUUUUCCUUUAGGACGUCCCUAUUUUCGUGGGAGAAUGGUUGGAGAUGGACUAGGAUGUCCCAAUUUUCAUCAGGGUAAUAUCAGAGGUGUGACAGGAUGUCCCUAUUUUCACUGGAGAAGUGUUGGAGGAGAUUGACUAUCUAUGGAAUCAUAGUUGUUUGCAUAUAUGAGAUCUCUGAGUAUAGGGUGGUUUAUCAAUUCAAUAAAUGAUAAUAAUAUCAUAGACAUCUUUUAUUUUUCUUCGUUCCCUUUCCAUGCUCCUUUGAUUUCCUUCUGUUGAAAUAUUCUCAAUAGAAGAAUAAUAAUAAUAAAUUUUUAUUUUUAUCCUGCCCUCCCCAGCCAAAGCUGGGCUCAAAAGCAGAAUCAAUGUGUGCUUUUGAGGCGCCAACAGGAUGCUUCUCCCGCCCAGCUGGAUAAAAGCAGCCAGUUUAAAAAAGGUAAAAAAAGAAGACAGGUGAAUCAUAGAAUAUUUUUAUUGGCACUCUGAGUUCGGUUUGCAGAGGGCAUGGAAAGAUCUGGCGAGAUGCAGGAAUUCGGCUCAGAGGAGCUGGAAGGUCCCGUUCUGGAUGGCCUGCAAUAAUAAUAAUAAUAAUAAUUUAUUAUUUAUACCCCACCCAUCUGGCUGGGUUUCCCCAGCAAGGAAAAAGAAAGGGACCCUUUGGACUCGGUUCAAGCUGAGAGACAUUCCAGGUGAAAUCGCCUUCCUUGUAAUAAUAAUGAUAAUAAUAAUUUUUAUUUCUAUCCUGCCCUUCCCAGCCAAGGUUGGGCUCAGGGCGGCUAACAAGCAAUCAUAAAAACAAGUUGAAUGAAGACAAGUUAAAAACAAGAUGGAAAAUACAACAUUAAAAUAUUGAAACAUUAAAAUAUUAAAAUAUCUCCUUGGAGGAGAAGUGGAGUUUGGAUUGGAUAUCCCUCUUGAGGAGUCUCAAAGCGGCUCGCAAUCUCCUUUCCCUUCCUUCCCACAACAAACACUCUGUGAGGUGAGUAAGGCCGAGAGACUUCAGAGAAGUUGACCAGCCCAAGGUCACCCAGCAGCUGCAUGUGGAGGAGCGGAGACUCGAACCCAGUUCCCCAGAUUACGAGCCCACCACUGUUCCACACUGGAGGUUUCGAAGCCUAGGUUGGGGUCCCAUCCAGCUCAACUGUUUCUAGGAUUCCAUGUUGAGACUUCUGCCCCAAAUGGGGGUUGGGAUAAAUGACCCUCGGGUCCCUUCCAUGAGUAUUCUUGGUCACUCAGCCAAAAAAAGGCCAUUCUUUUUGGCAACCCGAUCGUACCUUCUUCCAGUUUUCCCUUCUGGAGGUUCGGUCCUCGUCCGUCCUCCUCUUCAUAUCGGCACAAUCUGCAAACACAACCACAACUUUGAGAUUCCCGCCUUUCAGUCGGGUCCCUGACAGCUCUCAUUCUACGAUUAUAUAGUUCCUCCUGUGGCUAGAGGCCCAUAUGAUUGAUCGAUCGAUUGAUUGAUUGAUUGAUUGACGUGAACCGAAGGGUCCGCUGGAGGAGGUUAGGCAAGGAACUGGGCGAAACGGAGGCUUCAGUGCAGGAAUCUCUUCUUUUUUCCCCCAAUUUUUUUUUAUUGGUUUUCACAACAUUAUAAACAAACCAACACAUAAGACAAACAAACAUAAAUCAUAGCCUUAUUGAAAAUUACACUGAUUAACAUUGUUAAGUGACGUCCUCGCUUCCCCAUGGUUGAAUUUCAUUGCAUGUCCUUUGAACGGUUUUCCAAAUCACAGUUCUUCUAAAAUUCAACUUAAACAUUAACAUCCUUAGAUCUUCACAUUAUGAAAUUAAACAUAUGAAUUCAUCACUUAACGUAAAUAAAAUCCUAAGCCAAUUAAGUAUCUGCAAGCUGUUUUCAGUUAAUUUAACUUAACAUAGUUAACUAAGACCUAACAGGAAGAGCCUGCCACCAGAAGGAGAAGUAUCAGGAAGAUUGGAUUAAAUUUAAUUAAAUUUAACUAAGUAAUCAUUCAAUUUAAUCCACUCUUCCUGAUACUCCUCCUCCUCCUGGUCACGGACUCUUCCGGUUAGGUCGGCUAGCUCUGAAAGAUCCAUCAUCUUCAGUGCAGGAAUCUCAACACAGAAUCAUACAAUGGCGGAGCUGGGACCCCCAAAGGUCAUCCAGUCCAACCCGCAGCAAGG